rnacentral:rRNA from 1 species
GACGGGCCCGCGGCGGAUUAGCUUGUUGGUGGGGUAACGGCCUACCAAGGCGACGAUCCGUAGCUGGUCUGAGAGGACGAUCAGCCACACUGGGACUGAGACACGGCCCAGACUCCUACGGGAGGCAGCAGUGGGGAAUCUUGCGCAAUGGGCGAAAGCCUGACGCAGCGACGCCGCGUGGGGGAAGAAGGCUUUCGGGUUGUAAACCCCUUUCAGGAAGGACGAAGCCACUCGGGUUAAUAGCCCAGAGGGUGACGGUACUUCCAGAAGAAGCCCCGGCUAACUACGUGCCAGCAGCCGCGGUAAUACGUAGGGGGCAAGCGUUGUCCGGAUUUAUUGGGCGUAAAGAGCGUGUAGGCGGUCUGGUAGGUCCGUUGUGAAAACUCGAGGCUCAACCUCGAGACGCCGAUGGAAACCCUCAGACUAGAGUCCGGAAGAGGAGAGUGGAAUUCCUGGUGUAGCGGUGAAAUGCGCAGAUAUCAGGAAG